GGGGUAAAAUUAAUAAUUUAAAUUUAAUAAAAAAAAUUUUAAUGUUAAAAAUAUGAUUAAUGGGGGUUAAAGUAUUUUUAAUAGAAAAAAUUUUUAUUUUUAUAGUUUAUUAGUAUUGUAAAAGAAUUUUGAAAUAAUUUGAAAAUAAAUUUAUUUUAAAGUAAAUUUAAUUUAUUGUAUCUUGUGUAUCAGAGUUUAUUAAUAAUUUUUUAUAAAAUUUUAAAUUUCUCGAAUUUAAUAGAGUUAAUUAAUUAAUAAAUUUAUUGUUUUAUAAAUAUUUUAAAUAAUUAAUUUGAAAUGAAAUGUUAUUCGUUUUUAAAUAUAUCUAGUUUUUUAAAAAAAAAAUUUAAUUUUUAAUUAAUUUAAAUAAAAAUUAAUUAAUUAAAUUUAAUUAAUUUUUAAAUUAAUUUAAUAUUUUAAGGGAUAAGCUUUAAAUUAAAUUUUUAUAAUUAUUUAUUAAUUUAAUUGAAAAUUUUAUAAUUUAUAUUGUUAAUAAAUUUUAAUUUAUUAUAAAUAAUUUCAUUUAAUUAAAAAUUUAAUUUAAAAUUUAAUAUUUUAUUAAAAAAUAAAUAUAAAUUAAUUAUAAUUAGUUAUAAUGAUAAAAUUAGUAUAUAAAUUAGUAAAUAUAUUUAAAAUUAUUAUUUAUAAUAAUUAUUUUAAAGGAAUUCGACAAAUUUAAAUAUGUAUAUAUUUAUAUAGAUAUGAAUAUAUUCACCUGUUUAUCAAAAACAUGUCUUUUUGAUUAAUAAUUUAAAGUCUAAUCUGCCCACUGAUUAAUAUAAUUAAAGGGCUGCAGUAUAUUGACUGUACAAAGGUAGCAUAAUCAAUAGUCUCUUAAUUAGUGACUUGUAUGAAAGAUUGGAUGAAAUAUAAAUUGUCUCUAAAAUAAAUUAUUGAAUUUAAUUUUUUAAUUAAAAAGUUAAAAUAUUUUAAAAAGACGAGAAGACCCUAUAGAGUUUUAUAUUUAUUUAAUUUAAAAUUAUAAAUUAAUUAGGUUAUAUUUAAAUUUAAAUAAAUAUUUCAUUGGGGUGAUGAAAAAAUUAGUAUAACUUUUUUUAAUUAAAAUCAUUAAUUUAUGAAUUAUUGAUCCAAUAAUAUUGAUUAUAAGAAAAAAUUACCUUAGGGAUAACAGCGUAAUUUUUUUUUUUAGUACUUAUAAGAAAAAGAGUUUGCGACCUCGAUGUUGGAUUAAGAUAAAAUUUAAAUGCAAAAGUUUAAAAUUUUGAUCUGUUCGAUCAUUAAAAUCUUACAUGAUCUGAGUUCAAACCGGUGUAAGCCAGGUUGGUUUCUAUCUUUUAAUAUUUUUAAUAUUUUAGUACGAAAGGAUUAAAUAUUAUAAUUAAAUUAAUUUAAUUUGAAUUUUAUUAAUUAUAAAUAAAUUUAUUAUUUGUUUA
rnacentral:rRNA from 1 species